AACGGGGGGAGCGUUUAGCGUUAUUCAUCUUGAUUGGGCGUAAAGGAUAUGUAGAUGGUUGUUUGGUCUUUCAAAAAGACUUAGGGAUUUGGUUUUGGAUAAAAGCUAAAGGCUUUACUUUUAUUAUAUUCCUUCUCUCUUUAAACUUUGUAGUUAUGUGCAAGAAAGCGGUACCCUCAGUGAAGCGUUGGGAAUCCAGGGAUAUUGCAGGGGACACUCGGUAGGUGAAGGCGGCUUUCUUUAGUUUUAACUGACGUUGAGGUAUUUAAAGCAUGGGGAGCAAACGGG
rnacentral:rRNA from 1 species